AUAUGUACAAUGAGAUCAAAAGCGAACUAUUCUUUCGCCUUUUAUUAAAGAAUACCGUCUUCUCUCUCUCUUAAGCAGCAUACGCCUAUUUUUGGAAACGGUUUCUAUAAAACCCAC
rfam:Arabis alpina cultivar Pajares scaff_68603_1_contig_0, whole genome shotgun sequence.